rnacentral:rRNA from 1 species
CAGUAGCCGCGGUAAUACGGAGGGUGCAAGCGUUAAUCGGAAUUACUGGGCGUAAAGCGUGCGUAGGUGGUGGUUUAAGUCCGUUGUGAAAGCCCUGGGCUCAACCUGGGAAUUGCAGUGGAUACUGGGUCACUAGAGUGUGGUAGAGGAUAGUGGAAUUUCCGGUGUAGCAGUGAAAUGCGUAGAGAUCGGAAGGAACAUCUGUGGCGAAGGCGACUAUCUGGGCCAACACUGACACUGAGGCACGAAAGCGUGGGGAGCAAACAGGAUUAGAUACCCGUGUAGUCCCUGUCUCUUAUAC